GGACUACCCGGGUUUCUAAUCCUGUUUGCUCCCCACGCUUUCGCGUCUCAGCGUCAGUCACCGUCCAGAUGGCCGCCUUCGCCACCGGUGUUCUUCUCGAUAUCUACGAAUUUCACCUCUACACCGAGAGUUCCACCAUCCUCUCCGGGACUCUAGUCGCGCAGUAUCGAGUGCACUUCCUGGGUUGAGCCCAGGGCUUUCACACCCGACUUGCGUAACCGCCUACACGCGCUUUACGCCCAGUAAUUCCGAACAACGUUUGCACCCUCUGUCUUACCGCGGCUGCUGGCAC
rnacentral:rRNA from 1 species